GCAGCCAAAAAUGGGGCGCUGUCCUCAGAAU
rnacentral:piRNA from 1 species